GACAAGCCAAUGUCUUGAGCCAGGAGGGAGAAGUUGCUAUACAAGCCGCAUUGGUUUCUAUACAGGCUCAAGAUGAUCAGUGAAUGGGCAUGUGACCCGUUUGCACUCUUUUUCCCUCUCCUUUGGUUUUGUCCCAAUGGGUUUUCCAAAGGGAGGUUUUUAAUGAGACAAACGGCUCACAUCAUAUCCCUCAUUCGCUGAUCCAACAAGAGGCCCAAAACUUGAAGUAUCGGCGU
rnacentral:lncRNA from 1 species